CCUACGGGAGGCAGCAGUGGGGAAUAUUGGGCAAUGGAGGAAACUCUGACCCAGCGACGCCGCGUGAGGGAUGAAGGCCUUCGGGUUGUAAACCUCUUUCAGUAGGGAAGAAGCGAAAGUGACGGUACCUACAGAAGAAGCACCGGCUAACUAUGUGCCAGCAGCCGCGGUAAUACAUAGGGUGCAAGCGUUGUCCGGAAUUAUUGGGCGUAAAGAGCUCGUAGGUGGUUCGAUACGUCGGAUGUGAAAAUCAGGGGCUCAACCCCUGACCUGCAUCCGAUACGGUCGAGCUAGAGUUUGGUAGGGGAGACUGGAAUUCCUGGUGUAGCGGUGGAAUGCGCAGAUAUCAGGAGGAACACCGAUGGCGAAGGCAGGUCUCUGGGCCAAUACUGACACUGAGGAGCGAAAGCGUGGGGAGCGAACAGGAUUAGAUACCCUGGUAGUCCACGCUGUAAACGGUGGGCGCUAGUUGUGCGAACCUUCCACGGUUUGUGCGACGCAGCUAACGCAUUAAGCGCCCCGCCUGGGGAGUACGAUCGCAAGAUUAAAACUCAAAGGAAUUGACGG
rnacentral:rRNA from 1 species